GAGGGGAGCGCCGGAUCCUGGGCUGUGUCCCUCGGUGCCCUGGGCUCCGGGGCCUGCGCUUCUGCAAUCACUCCCGGGCCGCGCAUCCCCUC
rnacentral:pre_miRNA from 1 species